rnacentral:rRNA from 1 species
UACGUAGGGUGCGAGCGUUGUCCGGAAUUACUGGGCGUAAAGAGCUCGUAGGUGGUUUGUCGCGUUGUUCGUGAAAACUCACAGCUCAACUGUGGGCGUGCGGGCGAUACGGGCAGACUGGAGUACUGCAGGGGAGAGUGGAAUUCCUGGUGUAGCGGUGAAAUGCGCAGAUAUCAGGAAGAACACCCGUGGCGAAGGCGGCUCUCUGGGACGGUACUGACGCUGAGACGCGAAAGCGUGGGGAGCGAACAGG